GAUGAACGCUGGCGGCGUGCCUAAUACAUGCAAGUCGAGCGAACAGACGAGGAGCUUGCUCCUCUGACGUUAGCGGCGGACGGGAGAGUAACACGUGGAUAACCUACCUAUAAGACUGGGAUAACUUCGGGAAACCGGAGCUAAUACCGGAUAAUAUCUUGAACCGCAUGGUUCGAUGGUGAAAGUCGGUUUUGCUGUCACUUAUCGCUGGAUACGCGCCGCAUUAGCUAGUUGGUACGGUAACGGCUUACCACGGCGACGAGGCGUAGCCGACCUGAGGGAGGGAUCGCCCACACUGGAGGGUGGACGCGGUCCAGACGACUACGGGAGGCCGCAGUAGGGAAUCGGCCGCAAUGGGCGAAAGCCUGACGGAGCAACGGCGCGUGAGUGAUGAAGGUCCUCGGAUCGUAAAACUCUGUUAUUAGGUAAGAACAAAUGUGGAAGUAACUAUGCACGUCUUGACGGUACCUAAUCAGAAAGCCACGGCUAACUACGUG
rnacentral:rRNA from 1 species